GAGGACACCAUCCAUAGAUAGCAA
rnacentral:misc_RNA from 1 species